rnacentral:tRNA from 1 species
GCCACCGUAGCUCAAUUGGCAGAGCAGGGCUUUUGUAAAGCUCAGGUUGCAGGUUCGACUCCUGUCGGUGGCU